CAUCGGCUAACUACGUGCCAGCAGCCGCGGUAAUACGUAGGAUGCAAGCGUUGUCCGGAAUUAUUGGGCGUAAAGGGCGUCUAGGUGGAUUAACAAGUCCUGUGUGAAAUCUCUUGGCUUAACCAAGAAAGGUCACAGGAAACUAUUAAUCUAGAGGUCAUGAGAGGUAAGUGGAAUUCACAGAGUAGUGGUGAAAUGCGUAGAUACUGUGAGGAACACCAGAGGCGAAAGCGACUUACUAGCAUGAAUCUGACACUAAAGCGCGAAAGUGUGGGUAGCAAACCGGAUUAGAUACCCGGGUAGUCCACACCAUAAACGAUGGAUACUAGUUAUGGGAGGCUUAGACCCCUCUGUAACGAAGCUAACGCAUUAAGUAUCCCGCCUGGGGAGUACGGCCGCAAGGUUAAAACUCAAAGAAAUUGACGGGGGCCCGCACAAGCAGCGGAGCGUGUGGUUUAAUUCGAUGAUAAGCGAAGAACCUUACCAAGGCUUGAAAUAUAUCUGACAGCUAGUGAAAGCUAGUCUCCUUCGGGCAGAUAUACAGAUGUUGCAUGGCUGUCGUCAGCUCGUGCCGUGAGGUGUUGGGUUAAGUCCCGCAACGAGCGCAACCCUCGUCGUUAGUUACUAUGUCUAGCGAGACUGCCUCUAAAAAAGAGGAGGAAGGUGGGGAUGACGUCAAGUCAGCAUGGCUCUUACGCCUUGGGCUACACACACGCUACAAUGGAUAGUACAAAGGGCUGCAAAGGAGCGAUCCGGAGCUAAUCCCAUAAAGCUAUCCCCAGUUGGAAUUACAGGCUGCAACUCGCCUGUAUGAACGCGGAGUUGCUAGUAAACGCAGGUCAGCACACUGCGUUGAA
rnacentral:rRNA from 1 species